rnacentral:rRNA from 1 species
AUCAUGGAGAGUUUGAUCCUGGCUCAGGACGAACGCUGGCGGCGUGCCUAACACAUGCAAGUCGAACGGAGAGAUACGAGAGC